rnacentral:ribozyme from 13 species
AGAGAGAGAGAGAGAGAGAGAGAGAGAAGAUAAAAAACCCCUCUCUUCAAUUUGUUUUUGUUUUUCCUUCUUUCUUUUCUUCCUUCUCUUCUCAUCAUACCUUUCAUGGUGAUGUAUUGCGUUUCACCGUUUGUGCUGUUGAUGUAAGAAAGACCAAAAUAAAGCUCAGAU